AGCUCCAAUAGCGUAUAUUAAAGUUGUUGCAGUUAAAAAGCUCGUAGUUGGAUUUCAGAGUGAGCUCGUCCGGUCGGCCUAAAUGGUCUGAACUGGUUGACUCUCUCUUGCUUGUGGAUCCCGCCCGGAGUUAACUCUUCGGAUGUGGACUUCACAUCGUUUACCUUGAAAAAAUUAGAGUGUUCAAAGCAGGCGUAUGCUUGAAUAUAUUAGCAUGGAAUAAUGGAAUAGGACCCUGGUUCUAUUUUGUUGGUUUUGAGGACCAGAGUAAUGAUUAAUAGGGAUAGUUGGGGGCAUUCAUAUUUCAUUGUCAGAGGUGAAAUUCUUGGAUUUAUGAAAGAUGAACUUCUGCGAAAGCAUUUGCCAAGGAUGUUUUCAUUA
rnacentral:rRNA from 1 species